CAUUUUUACAAGGUGUCAGGCGGACAUGACACCCAGGCAGCGAGCGCUAUCUGGAAUAUGACAGGAGGAGGCGUGGCCUGUCCACACCACAAGGUCAGAGGCCGCAACCACGGAGACGAGGAGGCCCGAGAGUCGUCUCAGGAGAAGGUCAAAGGGACGCUGAGACAGGAGUGAGGAUCUGUGGGACAAAUCUGUGACGGUGAGGACACGAGGGGCUAAGGACACAAGGACAAGGUGGAAGGAG